rnacentral:rRNA from 1 species
UCUCAGAGAUGAGACUGUGCCUUCGGGAGCCGUGAGACAGGUGCUGCAUGGCUGUCGUCAGCUCGUGUUGUGAAAUGUUGGGUUAAGUCCCGCAACGAGCGCAACCCUUAUCCUUUGUUGCCAGCGGUCCGGCCGGGAACUCAAAGGAGACUGCCAGUGAUAAACUGGAGGAAGGUGGGGAUGACGUCAAGUCAUCAUGGCCCUUACGACCAGGGCUACACACGUGCUACAAUGGCGCAUACAAAGAGAAGCGACCUCGCGAGAGCAAGCGGACCUCAUAAAGUGCGUCGUAGUCCGGAUUGGAGUCUGCAACUCGACUCCAUGAAGUCGGAAUCGCUAGUAAUCGUGGAUCAGAAUGCCACGGUGAAUACGUUCCCGGGCCUUGUACACACCGCCCGUCACACCAUGGGAGUGGGUUGCAAAAGAAGUAGGUAGCUUAACCUUCGGGAGGGCGCUUACCACUUUGUGAUUCAUGACUGGGGUGAAGUCGUAACAAGGUAACCGUAGGGGAACCUGCGGUUGGAUCACCUCCUUA